ACAAACAUUUUAUUUUUAUUUUAAAUUUCAGAUAUUAAUAAAUAAUUGAUAACAUUUUUAUACAUAAUACGUAAUCAAUUAAAAUAAAAAGGCAAUAUUUUCAGAACAAAUGCUCGAUAAGAAAUAGAAGAAAAAUAUCAAAAAGAUAUUGCUUCUUCUUCUAUCAAUCCCCACUCCUCUAUUAAUUUAAUGUUAAUUUCAGAAAAUAUUUGUGACCGCGUGCAAUGCGGUUAAUAGAAUCAGUGUUUGCUUCGUCAUAGUAUUUUGAAUAUUUUUUAGAGCACGAUAGCUCUGAUUAAAUGUAAUUAGAAUAAUCAAACGCGAAGGUAGAAUCAGUGUUUGUUCGCCGACUAUAAUUUAUACGGACGCGUUAUUAGUUUCUUAUUUUUAUUUUUUUUAAUUUUAAAUAUUCGUUUUCGGUACAGAGUAGAAUCAGUGCUUCACUCAAGAGAAUAAGGCGAUCAUCCACCACGCGAAGAGAUGCUGAUGAUAUUUAUGAAGAUUUUUCUGGGACUUUAAAAAAUAUUUGUGAUCACGCGCAAUGUGGUUAAUAGAAUCAGUGUUUGCUUCGCCAUAGUAUUUUGAAUAUUUUUUAGAGCACAAUAGCUCUGAUUAAAUUUAAUUAGAAUAAUCAAACGCGAAGGUAGAAUCAGUGUUUGUUCGCCGACUAUAAUUUAUACGGACGCGUUAUUAGUUUCUUAUUUUUUAUUUUUUAUUUUAUUUUAAAUAUUCGUUUUCGGUACAGAGUAGAAUCAGUGCUUCACUCAAGAGAAUAAGGCGAUCAUCCACCACGCGAAGAGAUGCUGAUGAUCUUUAUGAAGAUUUUUCUGGGACUUUAAAAAAUAUUUGUAAUCACGCGCAAUGUGGUUAAUAGAAUCAGUGUUUGCUUCGUCAUAGUAUUUUGAAUAUUUUUUAGAGCACGAUAGCUCUGAUUAAAUGUAAUUAGAAUAAUCAAACGCGAAGGUAGAAUCAGUGUUUGUUCGCCGAUUAUAAUUUAUACGGACGCGUUAUUAGUUUCUUAUUUUUUAUUUUUUAUUUUAUUUUAAAUAUUCGUUUUCGGUACAGAGUAGAAUCAGUGCUCCUCUCAAGAGAAUAAGGCGAUCAUCCAUCACGCGAAGAGAUUUCUUUCACUCUUCUACUUGAUGACAACCUUCUUCUGGGCUACAAUAUCAGUGAGGGAGAGGAUUCGUCGCAUCGUAUGGUGAGUCGCAUGCUUUUUGGUUCCUCCGAUCGCUCAACCAUGUCGUAGGAUGAAAGAUCCGAAUCGACACGAGUGAUUGGUUGUAUACGUAGAAUUUUGCACGAGCACAAUGACCACGGAUAUUUAUUUAUAAUAAAUAUCCGCGAGUAGUAACAAUUAUCUCUUUUGUGUUUUAUUUAUUAGUUCAGGCUAGGAUCUUCUUACGCUUCGCGUUUUUUUUUGAUUAAUAUAAAAUGUUUAAAUGUAAAAUAUAAUUUUCUAAAACAUAUAAUAAUUAUUAUUACAUAAUUAUUGUACUAAUAUCGAACUACAAUAAUUAGUUUGAAUUUGUAUAAUUCAAAAUCUUUCAAAUAAUUCAAAAUUCAAAAAAGAAGAUAACAUUUUAAAUUAUUUGACCAAUUUGAUUAUUGUGAUUGUCAUAUAAUAAUUUCAUAUAACUUCAAUAUGAUUUAUAAGAUUGAUAGAUAGUAUAGAAGUUCAAUUUUUAUUCGUGCAAAUGUGAAUUAAAUUUUGUGUAAGAAGAUAUUUCGCGACAGGCAGAUUUUAGAAUCAGAGCAAUAAAUUUUGAAUAUUAUUCUUGUGACUUUAAAAAUAUGCUCUGACGAAGGAAUCGUCUGAGGGUAUUUCUAUUAAUAUUUAUAUUAAAUAAUAAAUGAAUUCUAAUUCAAUAUUACUUUUUAAAUUCAAUAUUAAAAAUUUAAUAUAUUAAAAUUUCAAUAACUUGUUCAAUUAAUGGAAUAAAAUAUAAUAUAGAGUCACAAAUAAUUUGAAAUAUAUAAUAAUUUAAAUAAUUAUAUAAUUUGAAAUAUAUAAUGGAAAGAAUAUUAGCCCGUUAGAUACAAAAUGGAUAUAUUAAUAUAUUUUUAGCUCAGGAUUUUCAGGUUUAACCCUUUCCAUGUUCAUUGCCAGGAACUCACUCACGUGCCCAGGUGUUACUUGAGCGAGGGAGAGGCAAUGGGUAUGAUGAUCUUAGCUGAUAAGUUAAUACAAUUUUUUUAGCGACUGACGAUGCGUUAGUGUAUCGUGCACGACGUAUUUUCCACAUUGUGUGUUUGUGGUUAGGCUGUGGAAUUGCGUCGUUUCAAUUAUUAUUUCUUUCACUAUUCAAUCACAAUUUACAAUCACAUUCGCAAUUAAAUAUUGCUAAUAAAUAAUAAAUAACAAGAUUACUAAUCUUUAGUC